AUUCAUUAGUGAGAGCAAUGCACUACAAAACAACAAUCAGAGUCGACUUGAUUUUGAAAAACACUUGUAGAUAGCUAUAGAGAUGAAAGGAUGAUUGAAGAUAAGAAAAUACACAAAGAUAGUUCGACCAGAAAUAUUCCUAUAAAUAAAUUGGCAGCAACUUAAGAAUUUCAGAACUGUAGCAUAUUACGAUUGCCAAACAGUACUUAUUAUACAAACCGUAUAAAAAAAUGAAAGCCAUACUUUCUGUAGCAUUCAUCGCAAUUUUGGUAGUAAUGGUUUCUUCUCGUAACCCUCACAACAUCAAAAGAAAUGAUGAACAUGAGGAUGUUUCGGAGUUGAAGGAAUCUCUCCCAGAGCAUAUCGAAGAAAACAGCGUGGGAAUUGAAGUUUUCGAAUCAGACGAGAAAAGUAUUCUAUGUGACGACUUGGGCUGCCAAAACGCCUGCAUGCUGAAGGGAUUCAAAAAUGGUUAUUGCUUACUUUUACUAUGCAUUUGUUUCUAAUUUAUUCAAAUACGCAAAUUCACUAUGAAUGUAUGUUGUAGAUAAUUCACACGUUUCAGUCAGUCAAUAUUCUGAUUAUAUUUUGAAAUACUGCCUUUAUAUGUACUGCAAGUUAUCCUAAAUAAUUCAAUAAAACAUCAACAAAUUCAA